CUCAUCGACUACGGCCUAUUCGGAGUUUCGAACUGGAGAAUCGUCUCUCACAGUCUCACUCUCUCCUCCUCCUCCUCUCGCCGCCUGCGGCUCUCCCUUCUCCACUUCUCUCAGAGAUCAAGUCGUAUCUACUUCUCUUACUCUCCCUCUUCAAUUUGGGGCAAUGAAUUCAAUGUUGUAUUGGAUUGAAGAUUUCAUGGAUUGAAGACUGAAGGUUGCAGUCAAAUCUCAAAUUCUCUUGCUCUGGAAAUCUGGUAUGCAGAUUGCAGCAUUCUCUCCGUCUCCUUGUUCUGCAAAUCUGCAAUUUAUUGUUUAAUUGAUGACUUGAUGUGGGUUAAAUGUGAUGCACUGAUGUGGGUUUAAAUGUUUAAUUGAUGUGGGUAAGUGGGUUUAAUUGAUGUGCGCCCAUUUCAUAGAUGCACCAGAAAUUGCAAUUUGAUUCACUCUUUUUUUUUUAUGGGGCUUCUGUUGA